AGCCGCCUCGCUCCCUUUCUCGCGCGUCGCCGCCUGCCUCCUCUCCUCCCCGCGACCCCGCACCACGUCUUCUCCCAGGCGCCCACUCGCCCCGCCCCCGAUCGAACCCUAGUCGCCACUCCUCGCUGGCCAUCCUCCCCGCCCACGGCCGCCACGCGCAUCGCCGCCAGAGGGCGCCGCCGGUUGUGGGCGCGCCUCCGCGGAUUCGCGCCGCGGUUGCCGGAGGCGUGGGCGCCGCGGGUCAACCUCCUCGGGGACGAUGGGCGUGGCCCCGCCGUCCCGCCCUGCCCGCCGUGGCUGCCAUGGACGAGCUCGAGCUCGACUGGGGAGCAAGGGGCUGCCCCGCCCGUCCCGCUCGCCAUGGUCAUGGCCAUGGCCGAUGACCGCGGCCCCGCCCGCCGCGGCGGCCAUGGACGAGCUCGAGCUCGAUGUGGGAGCAACGGGGAGAGGAACGUGAGGCUAUGGGGGAGGAAGAAGAUGGCCCCCUCGUUCUUGCCGUCAGUUCGUCGCUCGAUCUGUGCCAGCCUGCUGCGUCAAAUGUGAUGGAUUCGUUGUGCGACACCGGUGUUCCUUGUUCUUGCCGUCGUUGCGCUAGAUCUGAUGGUGCGUUCAUCAAUUUGUGGGUGCUCGUUCUUCUCGUCAGUUCGUCGCUCGAUCUGUGCCAGCCUGCUGCGUCUUCAUCCAGGGAUGUACAGGCUGGCCAAUGAGAGGCAAAGGGUAUUAUUCCCUGGUUGGAUUUAUGUGGUGUCCUAUCUUCCUUAAUUCCUGGAUUAUUGCUAAAAGAGAGCUGACUAGGCCCGCCUGGGAGAGCAGGCCUGCACUCGCGUCGCGCCCUUUCCUCUCCCUGCCGCCUCGCCUCUCUCCCUGCCUGCUUGUUGCCCCGGUCGUCUUUGAUGGUGCUCCUAGAUGUGCUAUACAUCACCUCCUCAUCUCCUUGGCCACUUCGGUGCCCAUGGCUUGCGUGCUCGUCGGCGGGAUGGUGCAAGGCGCAACUCCGACGUGGUUCCUCACUGGUUGGAUGGCGUUCAGGCGCAACCCCGGUGCCCUCUGAGUACUGCCUCGGCUACAACCUCCCUCUGUGAGCUCCAUCUUCCCCUGCUCUGCUUCGGCUACUAUAUGGGACAUGGACAGGGCUAUGAUGAUCAGUUAUGGCUGAUAUAGGCAUGCUCUCAAGCAGUCGAGGCACUUGUGGGUAUUAAUUUGGAUCCUCCCUCGUUUCUUUGAGCUGUUUUGAUCACGUUCUUAUUUUAGUGGCCCUGUCCUUGGAUGGUCAUUUCUAAUGAGUGAUAACCAGGGCAGGUAAACCCUCGUAAGAACAUAUUGAUCCGGUGACCCAUCCAGAAAUCCAGAAAUAAGAGAAGGAUGUCUCACCAAGCUCUCACAGCGAUUAGGGACUCUCGGCCGUCGGAUCGGUUUGCUUGAUGCGAUUCUGGGCGACGGAUCUCGCUCCGGAUUGUUCUCGCCAUCUCGGCCGUUGGAUCGAGCCUGAACUCCUGCAGUAAUGAAUAGUUACUCCCAAAAUGAGAUAUCUCGUGCCACCACGUUUGAAUCACGUGCCCCAUCGGUCGGAAGCCAUUCUUGCUAGGGCGAUGAUGAUUAGCCGUGGGUAUCAAGUUGGGUCCUCCCUCUUGUCUCUAGAAUCCUUUUUGAUCCUGUGAUACUUAUUGUUCUGCCCUUUGGAUGGUCAUUCUUAUUGAGUGAUAACCAGGGCAGCUCCACUGUAUAAACAGAUUGAUCUGGUGAUAAGAGAUGAUGGGGGUAGAUUAUAUGAUCGAGGAAAGGAAAAUCUGAGCCCAUAUGCAUUGAAUCCUAAACCCUUUUUAUUCGCACGUGCCCCACCGGUCGGAAGCCAUCCUUGCUAGGGCGAUGAUGAUUCGCUGUGGCUGAAAUAAGUGUGCCUUUGAGCAAUCAAGGCACAUGUGGGUAUCAAGUUGGGUCCUCCCUUUUGUCUCUAGAAUCCUUUUUUAUCAUGUGAUACUUAUUGUUCUGUCCUUGGAUGGUCAUUCUUGUUGAGUGAUAACCAGGGCAGCUCCACUGUAUAAACAGAUUAAUCUGGUGACAAGAGAUGGCGGGGGUAGAUUAUAUGAUCGAGGAAAGGCAAAUCUGAUCCCACUAUGCAUUGAACCCUGAACCCUUUUUAUUUGUAUUUAAAGGUGUUGCUUAUUUAUGCUCCAGUGUUUAUAGCCGUCUUAUGUGAAUAUUUCUUCUCUCUCAUACCUUUAUUGCAUAUAAGUUGUUCUUGACUUUUAUUGUUUGUUGUUGGUCCUUGAUUUCAUCUGGUUAAGAGUAAGCAAGUUGUCGGUUCAAUGGCUUGUUUUAAUUUGUUGAUAAACCAGCAGAAACCAUGGUGUCAUGUUUCUAAUAACAGCGUCUUUAGGCUGGUUAAUGUUUGUAUUGGAGACCACUACCUUUUAUUUCGCUUGUUUCUUACCAUCUUCCUUGCUUCUCUGGCUGUUUCACGGUUGGGAGGGUGGCAUGGCGUUGGGGCUGUCUUGCGGGUCGGCCGGAGAGGGAGCACACCGAGUGGGCUUCUAAGAUGGCUGAGGUCACCAGCUACAGCUAGCCCAAUGUCAUGCAGGUGUAACGAGGAACACAUACGAGGAGUGGACGAUGCCAGAGGUGAGGUUCUACUGUGGAGUGCCAGGUUGGUUGCCAUGGGAGGAUCUGGCUAGCUUUGCUAAGGAAGGAAGGGUUAAAGGAACUUGAAGCAGACAUUGGUUGUGGUCCUCUGGAGUUGGUACAUGACUUGCUUAAUAUUAUCGUUGCAGUUGCACGGCCAGCCGCCGAUUUUGGGAUCUUGCCAGAUAUGUUGAUGUGUUCUUCUGUAGGUUCGUCCAUCGUUCGCACGUGCUCGCUGUUCUUGUCGGUUCGUCGUUCGAUCUGUGCCAGUCUGUUGGGUCUUCGUCCGGUGCUUUGCAGGUCGACCCCUUUCCAAGGUUUACGAGUCGACAAGUCGACGAGUCGUUUCGAGGUUGCACAUCAUUACAAAUUCUACAUGAUCAAUGCGCUUAUCUGUGAAUGAGCACAAGAGGAAGACAAAGGAAGAAUACAUGCAAUUAACAAUACAAAUGGGGAUUAAUCUACCCUAAGUAAAGACUGGAUGUUCUUUUUAUGAGGCUAUAUUUAUCCCUGUAGGAUGUUCCCUAUAACUCCGAAAUCUGAAGAUACAAAUUAGUAAUUAUCAAUUGAUAUUUAACAUCACAUCUGGUAGUGGAAGAUUUAGUAAAAUAAGUACUGCCAGGUUAGAGUUUGGUGCCAGGGUCGUUGCUGGGUGUGUGGCUACUUCUCCUUCGGAUUCGGCUACUGUCUCAGCUAAAUACAUCAUAGAGAAGAUGACAAGAUGUUAGCAGCAGCAACCAACAAGCAAGGAGCAACCGAGCAAGCAAAGCAUUAUAUAUCAGAUUCACCAUUCAUAUAUGUAAAAUGUAAUGUAAUAGGCAGAACAUAUCACAAGUUCUGAAGUUCACAACUUGAAUGAGCAAUCAAAGCAAACUAGCAAAGUAGCAAACAGGCAAUGUAAUAGGCAGAACAUAUCACAAGUUCACAACUUCA